UUUCUUUUCAUUCAAGAACACUACAUAACUCUUCUCUCUAUCUUCCCUCUCAAAACCCUAGCGCAGCCAUGUCUGAAGUGGAGGAUGCUUGAAGCGGAUUUUACGACGGCGGAUAAACACUAAUCAAAUGAUUCUUCUUCACUCUGAUUAUACCUUAAUCAAAUGAUUUCUUCAUUCGCCUCUCCAAGCUCUGAAACCCUAGAUUCACAACUUCAUCAACUGCUCGAUUUUGUUGGUUUAGAAAACUUCAUCAACUACUGUGAUAAUGAAUGAGAAAGGGCAGCCGAUUAUACUCUUUCAUGGCUGUUUGAUCAUCGAGAACUGUUUUAUUUGCAAUUUUUUACUACCGAUACCCUAAUUUGUUCAUCGGAGGAUAUGAUUGAAGAUAACAUUUAAUUUGAUACGAUACAUGCAUCUGUUGGUUCUGCCGAUCAGCAUGGAAAUGAGUACGGGGACGAUACGAGUACAGGGAACGGCAAAACUCAAAAAUUCAAGAUACGGGUACGGCAAAGAUUCAAUUUUAGUCUGAAAGAAGGUGAUGAAGAGGAGCAUGAAGGGCUGGGAAGAUGAACGUAUUUGAAGAUACCCCCAAUUUUCUUUUUGAUUUCACUACUGCUGGAAUCGAAAAUUACCACCGUCAGAAUAUUUGUUUUCAUGAUUUAAUCCUUUUUACAGAAUAUCUCAAUCUCCGCGUCCAGCUGAUCGUUCUAUGUCACCAACUCGGUCCCUUUUUUUAUCAUUACUAAAGCUUUUUAAGGAGGUACACGCUCCGGAUCGGUUAGCAAAUCCCUUUCUAAUUCCAGAAGUCAUUCAAGGUAUUGGAUGUCAGAGGCGAGCUAUGGAAUUGAAAUGGCUAAAGUACAGGUAGUGAGCAAUGGUAUAUGGUAGAAGGCGGAUUUCAAAACAUGAAGGCCAAUAGUGGUACAUCGGAAACCUCUGUCGUUUCAGAUGAUAUUUGAUCUUCUACUAGAUGAGGCCCUCCACCCCACUCUGGCCAAGACUAUGUUGUCUUAACCGGGCUCACGCUUCGCAUCAGAGUUUGGUUUGGCGCUCCCCGACAAAAUUUCCAGCCUACUGCCAUAUGCGAGUAGUUGCACCCUCCACAAGAGCCGAAAACUCUCUGGAGUAAAUGCACUGUAAUAGAAAACUCGGGUGUGGAGGGUGCAACUACUACAGAAAGUUUUGUUUUAUUAAAUUGCUAAAAUCGUCCCUGAAGUUUGGAUGGAUUUAGCAACUUUUUUGAAACCUCGGUGGUUCAUAUGAGAAAAUUGCUAAAAUCGUCCCUGACGUUUGUUCACAUUUGCUAAAUCCAUCCAAAAAAAGUUUGUUUUAUUAAAUUGCUAAAAUCGUCCCUGACGUUUGUUCACAUUUGCUAAAUCCAUCCAAAAAAAGUUUGUUUUAUUAAAUUGCUAAAAUCGUCCCUGAAGUUUGGAUGGAUUUAGCAACUUUUUUGAAACCUCAGUGGUUCAUAUGAGAAAAAAUCUUUUUUUGGAUGGAUCUAGCAAAUGUGAACAAACGUUAGGGACUAUUUUAGCAAUUUACUCAAUUGGUAAUAAUUUCGUUAAAAAUGUCUAUGAUACAUUGCGAAAUGAAUCUUCUUAUAAUCAGAAUAUGUAAAUUUUCUCAAACUCGACGGGGCAAAUUCGAAGUAAUUUCAAAAUGAAUUUUCUAUGAUAGAUUGAUAAUUUCAUAAAUGCACCUGCUUAAAAGCCUCGACGGGGCGAACUCGAAGUAAUUCAUCUUGAGGUCUGAAUGUUCUUUUUGUGAUCGAUAAUACCAGAUUUCAUCGCCAUAAUUUGUGUGUUUGCUCUUGUGAUUGAGACUACCAGUUUUAAUUGCACCAACCCGUCUCCAGGUUGGUGAGACGUUCAAACCGUCGUGGCUCUCGUGUUAAUUCCUUUGAUAAUCUUGAUAAGGUAAACAAUGCAUCGUUUCAAGACGUAGCUCAUGCAACAACGUUAGCUUAAUUUGCUCAUGAGUAGCUCAGAAGUAGCUGAAUUGAAAAGGCUAUCGGAAGAUAUCAGAAAUUACUCCUUCGGCAUGGGCUAGGAUAAGUAAAAAUGGUUGCUGGACGCUUCGGGUCAAUUCUCGGUGCGGAUAGGAGACACGUGAAGGGGCUUUAUUUUUCUUACGGUGGUAAUAAUUUCGUAUGGAAUAAAUGAGUGUCUCUUAAAGUAAAGUUAUGUCCUGUUGAGUCUCUCUCUAUCGGAUCAACCAUUGGUACCGCAUAGUAUCCACACCGGUGUUUAUUUAAUAUUUUUAACACUUAUAAUUUUAUUGGUUCUUUUUGUAGCGGGGUCUCGAUUUACUAAGGGAAAUGUUUUGACAAUUCGAAGGAUAUGCAUCUUCAAAUGGACUUGACUAUCUUUAAAUUAUAUUUCCACUUUGUCACUAAGUUUAUGUAACAUGGCACUUUGGUCAUAUUAAAAGAAGUUUACAACACAAUAUGCGCUGAAGCCAAGUCAGUGUUACUCUUGAUGCAAUAUUUAACUCGUAGGUAUGGUUUGAUUUUAAUUUUAAAUAGAAAUCAAUCAGUGUGUGUUGAAAUU